UUUCGAUUCCUCGACGAGAGGGGAUUAAUUUCGGGGGCGGCGCAAACUUACAUCGGAGGAGUUGGAGAUGAGCUCGCGGAGGAAGAUCUCCUUGUUGGAGUAGAAGGUGUUGAUGAUGAGGGACAGCAGCUGGUUGAUCUCGGCCUGGAAGGCGAACGUCUCGGUCUCCGACGCCAUGGCCGCGCGCCUUGCGUGCUCCUGAUCUCUCGCCGGCGGGAAGAGGAGCUCGCGGGCGGAGGAGACGACGCGCGGCUGCGGCUGCGGCUGCGGCGGCGGCUAGGGUUAGGAGAGGGUUUUGAGAGGGCGAGAUCGUGGGGGUGGGAGAUGCUUUUAUGCGGUCCUCGUUGUUCUCGAACCUUCUACGUGGGCCUAGAAGCCGGCGAGGCCGCAGCGCGUGUUGACUAGUCGUUGCGGGUGGGCCAGGCCGGACCGGCAGUGAGAUUUUGCGCGUGAUUAGGUGUAGUGGGCGUAUAGAAGGCCAUAAAAUUCUGAAGAAAAUGAGGCCCAUAAAGCCCAUGAAGACAAGCGAGGGUCCAGUGGCCCGUAAAGCCCAUGAAAACAAACUAGGAUCAAGUCGCCAAUGAAGUCUAUGAAAACAAGCUAUGAAGCGCAUUCAAGACAGUAGAGGGUCCAGUCGCCGGCGAAGCCCAUGGAAAGAAAGGGAGGGUCAAGAGGAGAGAUUUGAUAAUUUAACCCUUUUCAAAAUGGGUUUCGAUUAUUAGAUUCUAAACCACUUUAAUCCACUCAGAUAGUCCCACGUGAAGUUGGAGAUGGAUAUUUGCAAAUAAACCCCUUCUACUAUUAUAGGCAUGUUCAGAUUGUAGCCAAAAUAAACCUUACCAAGUUUUGGCAAUACCAAAAUUUUAACAAGAUGGCAAUAUUGCCAACAUUUUGGCAGGAUUUCUUAUGUAUUGACCAAAUUUGGUAACAAACUAAACGUAUAUAUUUUUUGGCAACUUUGACAAAAAAAAUGGUAUGGUUGAAAAUGGCAUCAAAAUGAACAGGCCCUAUGUGUUCAAGAGUAUUAGUUGGAUACUUCCGGCCUCAUCGGUUACUCAUAUUUUCUAAUAAGCCAUUUUGGUUCAUUAGAUAAUAAAAAACUAAUUUAUUGGUAAAACUUUUUAUACAUGUGUUCUUAACGAUUUAAAAGUCGAUGCUGAAAAAAAAACUAUGUUGAAAAAAAUCUUUAAAUCAACUUCAAAAUUAAGUUUAAAAAUUCAAAUUUUAUCUUUUGCUUUGGCUUAUUAAGGCAACCGAUGGGGCUCUUCUUCUUUCUGUACAGAAAACAAUAUAGUUCAUUAGCACAUGAUUAAAUAUUAGUAAAAGAAUAAAAAUAGAUUAAUAUGAUUUUAAAAAUUCAACUUUUCUAUAGUAAAUUUUUUUAAGAAAAACACAAUGUUUAGUUGUUGAAGAAAUAUGCAUGAAAAACAAGGGAGUAAAAAGUGGAAAAGUGGUGUUUCUACCCUUCAACCAGAUGCAGCCAUGCAGGUCAUCUGCAAUAUUGUACAUGCAAUAUUGCUCACUGACAUGUGAACCCCAUAGCCUCUCGGGCUCACAUGUAAGUGAGCAGUACUGCUCAAUUGUCCUUCAACCAUCCUGUGGUCAGCACCACAAAUGGACGGAACGAGAGAUCGUGCGGUUGCACAUGAUUUAACGCCUUAAUUAACUACUCCAAGAUAUUAACCGCACUAAUGUCCUGCACCUGUGUUUGACUCGAGAGGGUAAUUAGCGUGGACGUCACUAAUGAUGGUCGUCGUCUACUCGUCUUUCGUACUCAGUGCGAUCGAUGAAGUGACAGUAAAUGUUAGCUAGCCAUGCACUUUGUACAGUUUCUUCGCCCAUUUCUGCACGCGGCUGACUGACCAGAUGCAAUGCACUUGUACACGUUUGGUAGGCCGUCUUCGAUCCAUUCCCGGUUAAUCAAAUGAUAUAUGUAAUUAUGUAUAUCUUCUCUUGUAUAUAUGCAGCAUGCUAGUAUAAUGUUAGGUACAGUUCUUUUGGGUUAUUUUUUUUAUCUCGAUUUUGUCAUGGCAACUACGAGCAAACGCUGCUUUUCCUGCUUGUCCUACGAGCCUGAACAAACGGCAGGAUGUUGCACAAAGUGACAGUCCUUGUUAGGUUUCUGCUCUUCUGCACUGCACUAUCCAUUUGCAAAUAUUUUGCAUGGAAGCUAGCAGAAAAUGCUAUGUGUUGUUCAUGAGUCUAAUCAAAGUUAAUUAAUCAAAUCUGAUGCUGUCUAAGGAGCAUAUUGGAAUGCAUCAAUCAUAUGAGUGUGUGUAACUUAUUGGUGCCCUUUGUGUGCCAAUGUCUCAUCCUCUGUCAUGUUCUCAAUGUAUCAACGCUGUAACUUCUCAAGAAUCAAUGUUUAUGUACUACUACUACAACUACAUAGUUUAACUAACUCCUAACCAGGGCUAAACUGAACCAACUAAACAAUUACGGAGUAUUACUGAACAACAAGAACAGCGCUUAAUUAGCAAUGCGCGUUUCGUUUCAUCUCACGCAGCAAUGACACACGCUUGCAACGCACCAGCUGUGUUUGUGAUCACUUUGUCAGUGCAUCAGCAAAUCGAGCACUGCAUGCAUACGCAUUUCCUGCUUUCUGGCGUGGUGGAGGCAGGAAAGCAACCUCCAACAUAUCAGCAUUCACCACCCAAUAUAUUACACAAUUUGUGACACAGGUCGGUCUCUCUGCCUGCCUUUCGGAACGGGAAGAGGUGUCAUUUUCCUAUGCCCAUUUCGAUCGUAGCCAAAUUGAUCUAGAUUUGAAAUAAAUUAUAUAUAUAUAUAUAUAUAUAUAUAUAUAUAUAUAUAUGGCAACGUAAUCCUUCUGUUUUAAAAUAUAAGCAUUUCGCAUUCAGGUUCCAAUGGGCAAGAAUUCAAGCAUUCUAAUCAAUCAGGUGCUUAUACGGUGAAUCCAGACAAUUCGAAAUUUGACCGGAAUUCUUUUUUCUUAUCCUUUAUCUUUGCUAAACAUCAUAGGAACAUUUACAUUUAGAGCGAUGCUGGGGAUCCACUUAAUUUAAGUGGCUCCGACUUGACGUACGACUGAUCUAAACGGCAAUUUACGCUCAGUCUGUGUUUAGUUCCACACUAAAAUUAGAAGUUUAAAAAAAUAGGAAUGAUGUGAUGGAAAAGUUGAAAAUUUGCGUACGUAGGAAAGUUCGAUGUGAUAAAAAAAUUAGAAGUUUGAAAAAAAAGUUGAAAUCUAAACAGGGCCUCCGUAGUGCGCGUGUUCGUGCUCGUGCAAUCAAGUUGGAUCGAGUUGGGAGUUGGAGUUGACAGUUCGUCACUAGCUCGAUCGCUAGUCGUCGCCGUGUGUGUAAUGCCAUGGUGCUCCUUGAUCGGACGCCGGCUAGUAGCUAGCCAGCAGCGUGUGUGGCGAACAACCUAAUCUUUUUCCUUCGCACGGGCGGCCGGCUGACGGCGACGAGCCGCCGACGACGAGGAGGACGACUUUGACGCCCGCGUGUGGUGUGGACCAGGGCACCAACAGCAGUGGUGGUUUAUGCGUUGCCAACUACUGACGAGAUGCUAUAUAAGCAGCAGCAAUGGCCAUCGCUUCAGCUGCACGGACAAAUUAAGCGAGGGAGUGAGAGCUAGCUAACUCAGGCUCAGCCAACUGAUCGCGAGCUGUGACGAGGUGAUCACCAUGGCGUCCUCGUCGUCGCUUCUUGUUCGUGGGAGAGCGUUCGCGCUGGUUGUGGCUGUAGCUCUGGUGGCUGCUCCUCGCCGGAUUAAUGGCGGCGCCGCCGGGCCGGCGGCGAGGACGAACGACCCCAACUGGCACGUCUUCAGCGUCAGCUCGCUGCUGCCGAGCUCGGCCUGCACUGCAUCGAAAGGUAGUGUCAGUUUUGCAGCCUGUCUCCUUUCGCAACUGUAUCUGAAACUGAAGCAGUUACUGCGGAAAAAUAAUGUAACCUGGUCGGCCAUUAACCAUCUCGAUCGAACUUGCUUUAUAUAAAUCUCGUCCAUUUGAUCAAACUGAGGAAUUGAAAAACCCAAUAAGAAAUCUGUUAGGCCAAUUUGGAGUAUGGUUAGUCUGUAUCCUGCAAACAAGUAUUGUGACUGAAGUAGCAUCUGCAUUAUUCUGAAAUUUUAGUACCACUGAAACUCAGCUACCGUGAUAGCAUAUGCAGCAUAUAUCGAAUUUAUAAGAUAUUCUAAGGGAAACAUAAUAUGUUUUACAGUAGUAUUGAUCAGAAUUACAUCAGGUAAUCUGUUGCUGAUUGAUGCGAGUAAACUUUUGGCAUGCUGAUGACUGAUCACUACACAAAAUUUUCAGUGCAGUAAAAAGCUUUGGGGCGGUUCAGAUUAAAGCCAUUUUUAACCAUACCAUUUUUUUUAAGUUGUCAAAAAAUAUAUACGUUUAGUUUAUUGCCAAAUAUGAUAAAUAAAUAAAUAAUCCUACUAAAAUUUUAGCAAUACUACCAUCUUACCAUCUUGCCAAAAUUUGGUAAGAUUUAUUUUAGCUACAAUCUGAACAUUCCCUUUCUUUGCUUCGAGUUGCAUUUGCACAAAUUGCAUUUCUCAUUUUCCCAUUCUGUUUUUCUUGCAGCGGCGUCCAACUCGUCGGCUCUCGGCGUCGUGCACCGGCACGGGCCGUGCUCGCCGGUGCAGGCUCGUCCUCGCGGCGGCGGCGGCGCUGUCACCCACGCCGAGAUCCUGGAACGCGACCAGGCCAGGGUCGACUCCAUCCACCGCAAGGUCGCCGGCGCCGGGGGCGCGCCGUCGGUGGUCGACCCGGCACGCGCCUCGGAGCAGGGCGUGUCGCUGCCGGCGCAGAGGGGCAUCUCCCUCGGCACCGGCAACUACGUCGUGUCCGUCGGGCUCGGGACGCCGGCGAAGCAGUACGCCGUGAUCUUCGACACCGGCAGCGACCUGUCGUGGGUGCAGUGCAAGCCCUGCGCCGACUGCUACGAGCAGCAGGACCCGCUGUUCGACCCGUCGCUGUCGUCGACGUACGCCGCCGUGGCGUGCGGCGCGCCGGAGUGCCAGGAGCUCGACGCGUCGGGCUGCUCGUCGGACAGCAGGUGCCGGUACGAGGUCCAGUACGGCGACCAGUCGCAGACCGACGGCAACCUCGUGCGCGACACGCUGACGCUCUCGGCGUCGGACACGCUCCCGGGCUUCGUCUUCGGGUGCGGCGACCAGAACGCCGGGCUGUUCGGCCAGGUCGACGGGCUGUUCGGCCUCGGCAGGGAGAAGGUGUCGCUGCCGUCGCAGGGCGCGCCGAGCUACGGCCCCGGAUUCACCUACUGCCUACCGUCGUCGUCGAGCGGCAGGGGCUACCUGUCCCUCGGCGGCGCCCCGCCGGCGAACGCGCAGUUCACGGCGCUGGCCGACGGCGCGACGCCGUCGUUCUACUACAUCGACCUCGUCGGCAUCAAGGUCGGCGGCCGCGCGAUCAGGAUCCCGGCGACGGCGUUCGCGGCGGCCGGCGGCACGGUGAUCGACUCCGGCACGGUGAUCACCCGCCUCCCGCCGCGCGCGUACGCGCCGCUCCGCGCGGCGUUCGCGCGCUCCAUGGCGCAGUACAAGAAGGCGCCCGCGCUGUCCAUCCUCGACACGUGCUACGACUUCACCGGCCACCGGACGGCGCAGAUACCCACGGUGGAGCUGGCGUUCGCCGGCGGCGCCACCGUCAGCCUCGACUUCACCGGCGUGCUCUACGUCUCCAAGGUGUCGCAGGCGUGCCUGGCGUUCGCGCCCAACGCCGACGACUCGUCCAUCGCCAUCCUCGGGAACACGCAGCAGAAGACGUUCGCCGUCGCGUACGACGUUGCCAACCAGAGGAUCGGCUUCGGCGCCAAGGGAUGCAGCUGAUUACAAUCCGAGAUGAUGAAUCAAUCGAUCAUUUUGUUUUGUUACAGUGACAUAUAUAUGGGGAAAAAAUAGUGAAAAAAAACUGCAAUAAAUAAGCAUCAUCGAUAGUGACAUGGAAGAAGUUGAAAACCGUUAAAAAUAUUUUUGAUGCAAACCAGUUCGGGCUAGUAACAGUAUUACAGUGUGCCUGAUAGUAGCACAUUUCAGGCUUUAUUUAAUUAUUUUUUUAUCACUCUCUGGACACUGAACAGUGAACACUAUACUACCACAAGAGGCAGCAGCUCACACAGUGAAAACCGAAAAGAUGUUACGGUGGUUUAUGGUACGAGUGUAAGUGGCGUGAAAUCCACUUGUAGGCUAAAAUAAACCGCAAAUCCACUUAUAAAUUAAAAUAAGUGGGUUCGCGGCUCACCGACCAACACCCAUAGUCUACCCACUUACACCGUCUAUGGCACGCCAUGGUGAUUGAUGGCGUCGGUGGCGGUGUCAACGCGGCCGGUGCCGGCGGCGGCAGCGGCGGUGUCGCCUUGUUGGUGGCGGCGCUGUGUGGCGACGGGGACGGCGGUGCCGGGGAUGGUGGGGGCGUCGGUGCCGCAGCCGCCGUGGGGGACGUCGGAGACGGGGAGGUGGCCGCGGGCGCCGUAGGCGCGCAGCUUGUAGUCCUCCAGGCCGUCGUCCUUCUUGUACUGCACGUACGGGCUGGUGUCCAUCGGCAGCUGCACCGUGUCGCCGGCGUCCGGCUUCCUCUGCUGCUGCUGCUGCUGGGUCUCCUUGGUUGCCUCCAUUGCAAGUCCUCCGCUUGAUCUGCAGCAAGAGUGCAGCCUUGUUUCUCUGAAUGUGUACUUGACCUGGUAGUAUCCAACACUGUUUAUAAUGGAUGUUGCUUUUGGCCUACUACUAGUAGAAUCCAAGACUAGUUUUAUGUGUGUGGAUAGAGCUAGGGAUUCGGGUUUCAUGGCCACCUCGCCAUGGCAGUGCACCAGGUGUCAAGCAGAGGAAGUACUCACGACGGGCAAUCGACACGUACCUCUAACCUCUGCCUCCGAUCCGAUACAGAUGCACGUGAGCUCAGCCAGCAGAUCAGCCGACACGUACCUCACGAUGUCCUCACAACGCAAAAACGCAUAUGUGCUCCAUCUCUCAACCGGCGGAUCAGUUCGUCAGUUGGGUUUGUGCUAGAGCGGAGGGGCAGAAAUUACUGGUCCACUACUACUAAGUAGUACUCGAGGUCGACCAAAGAUGAUUGAAACAACGAAAAGAUGAUUGAAACGGAAACAGAAAGCUCUCGAGGUCGACCAAAGAUGAUUGAAACAACGAAAUUCCCUGCAGAUGGUUAAUUGAUCAAAGCAAGAAGACAUUCGAGGCAUUCUAUCUUGCAGGCAUCAACAGUGAACAAACAUUCCAUCACUCAUUCAAACUAAAUAGCCUUGUACUAACAAAUUGAAGUUCAAGAAUACUGCAGGCUAAAAAUGGUCCAUCAUUCCAUCAAUUUGCAGCAACCAGGCAUACUAAGCUUACCAUCCACUAUCUAGCCAUACAAUAACAGAUGGAAGAAGUUCCAGCAUACUGCGGGCAAACAAUGGUCCAUCAUUCCAUCAAUUUGCAGCAACCAGGCUUAUUAGGAAGAAGUUCCAGAAUACUGGUCGGGCUGCUCACAACAGCUACUUGGAAUACUCAAGUUCAAGAUGGAAAUUGGCACACUCCAAGGGAUUCAGCCAACAUAAUUUGAUAAAAAAAGACGUUAUAAGUAUGAAUAAGAAGCUGGCAUAUACUUCGGCUAGUAGCAUUGCAACGCAAACAGUAUGACAAGGUACCACGCAUUGUUUAAGAGCUAAGACAAAGACAAAACUGAUGCAUCCAACGUACCAAAAAGAAAGCGAACAGCAGCAGUCAGAUAGCUAUGAGAAGAGAACUAGGAGAGGGAUAACUAGAAGGGACAGAAUGGCAUCCAUGGGUCCAUGACGUUUAGUCGACCUCCUCCAUCUUGCUCUCGCCGGCGUCGUCCUCCAGCGGCGGCAUGUCGGCGUCAGCCUCGGCGGACUCGUCCUCGUCGAUGCUCAGGCCGAGCUUGAGCAUGCGGUGGAUCCUGGUGCCGAAGGUGUUGGGGUCCUCCAAGCUGAAACCGGAGGUCAGCAGGGCAGUCUCGAAGAGCAGCAUCACCAGGUCCUUCACGGACUUGUCAUUCUUGUCCGCAUCGGCACGCUUGCGGAGCUCGUCCAUGAUGGCAUUCUCCGGGUUGAUCUCCAUGGUCUUCUUGCUAGACAUGUAGCCGGCCAUGCUGGAGUCCCUCAGAGCCUGGGCCUUCAUGAUCCUCUCCAUGUUAGCAGUCCAGCCAUACUCCCCAGUGACUAGACAGCAGGGAGAGUCCACCACACGGUCAGAGACAACAACCUUCUCCACCUUGUCACCGAGCACCUCCUUGAUCACCUUGCACAGACCCUCGAACUUCUCCUUGAGUUCCUCCUGCCGCUUCUUCUCGUCCUCACUCUCAUCAAGCUUCAGACCUUCCUUGGUGGCAGAGACGAGCUUCUUGCCUUCAAACUCCUUAAGCUGACCAACAGCGUACUCAUCAAUGGCAUCAACCAUGUACAGGACCUCAUAACCCUUCUUCUUCAGCUUCUCGAGGAAGGGGGAGUUCUCAACAGCCUUCUUGCUCUCACCAGUGAUGUAAUAGAUCUCACUCUGGCCCUCCUUCAUCCGGGUUACGUAGUCCUUGAGGCUGGUCAACUCAUCACCACUCUUGGUGGAGUGAUACCUCAGGAGCUCAGCAAUCUUGGUCCUGUUGGUGGAAUCCUCAUGGAUGCCAAGCUUGAGAUUCUUGGAGAAAGCCUCGUAGAACUUGUUGUAGUCUUCCUUGUUCUCAGCGAUCUCAAAGAAGAGCUCCACGCACUUCUUCACAAGGUUCUUGCGGAUCACCUUCAGGAUCUUGUUCUGCUGGAGCAUCUCACGUGAGAUGUUGAGGGGAAGGUCUUCAGAAUCAACAAUGCCCUUGACAAAGCUGAGCCACUCUGGGAUCAACUCCUCACAGUUGUCCAUGAUAAACACCCGGCGUACGUACAGCUUGAUGUUGUUUUGCUUCUUCCUGGUGUCAAAGAGGUCAAAUGGCGCUCUCUUUGGUACAAACAGGAUGGCCUUGAAUUCAAGCUGACCCUCCACAGAGAAGUGCUUGACAGCCAGAUGUUCCUCCCAGUCGUUUGUCAAGCUCUUGUAGAAAGCAGCGUACUCUUCCUUGGUGAUCUCCUCUGGCUUCCUCAACCAAAUGGGUUUCUGCUUGUUCAUCACGUUCCACUCGUGAGAGACUUCCUUGAUCUUCUUCUUUUUCUUCUCUUUCUCUUCCUUCUCCUCAUCAACAUCCUCAACCUUUCCCUCCUCAGCAUCCUUCUUCUCUUCCUCGUCUUCAUCAUCAGAAAUCUCCUUCUCAGUUGUCUUCUCAGUCCAUAGGGAGAUAGGGUAGCUGAUGAACUCAGAAUGCUUCUUCACCAGAUCCUUGAGGCGACGCUCCUCAAGGUAUUCCAGCUGCAAGCAAAAAUUGCAGUUGUUUAUUAAACAACAAACAGCAAGAGAACACAAGAGACAAGAAACAAAACAAACAAUACAAGUAUUUAUUUCAACAAGGUGUUAUGCUGCUAUGCAUUCUGAUAAGAACAUUGGGACAAACGAUAUACUCCCUCCGUUUCGAAAUGUUUGACGCCGUUGACUUUUUAGCACAUGUUUGACCGUUCGUCUUAUUCAAAAAAAUUAAGUAAUUAUUAAUUCUUUUCCUAUCAUUUGAUUCAUUGUUAAAUAUAUUUUUGUGUAGGCAUAUAAUUUUACAUAUCUCACAAAAGUUUUUGAAUAAGACGAACGGUCAAACAUGUGCUAAAAAAGUCAACGGUGUCAAACAUUUCAAAACGAAGGGAGUAUAUAAAUUGAUUAGCAGAAUACAACAACAAAGACAGACCAUAACUAUGUAACAAUGUUAGCAUACAAGGAAGUCAUAACUACAGCACAAAAGAACAGAGACAAGCUGAAAAGCAGUAAAUCUCAAAAUUCAUUUCAUGUUAAUGGAAAACAGUAAGAUGUAUACAACUAAAUCUCAAAAUUCAUUUCAUAUUAAUGGAAAACAGUAAGAUGUAUACAACAGCAAAUAUGCAUUGUUACAACUAAUACUAUUGCUUCAUUAAGUGAUUACUACCGAGGAAACCCAGAUCACUAGUUCAGAAUUACAGUUUAGCGGCAUUGUUAAUUUUUAGUCAAUAUAACCAAGAGAGCAAGAUACCACUAUUCCAAAAACUGCUGUACACCCCUAAUCUAUACAGUUCAUUUAUUGUAGCAUACAAGGAAGUCACAACUACAGCACAAAAGAACAGAAAGACAAGCUGAAAGCAGUAAAUCUCAAAAUUCAUUUCAUGUUAACGGAAAACAGUAAGAUGUAUACUACACCAAAUAUAUAUUGUUACAACUAAUACUAUUGUUUAAUUAAGUGAUUACUACCAAAGAAACCCAUAUCACUAGUUCAGAAUUACGGUUUAUCAGCAAUGUUGAUUUUCAGUAAAUGUAACCAAGAGAACAAGAUACCACUAUUCCAAAAACUGCUGUACACCCCUAAUCUAUACAGUUCAUUUAUUGUACUACAAAAUGAGCACCAUGUCAUCAAGACAACCUCUUAUUAAAGUAGCAAGAAUAUUUCUUCAGAACAUGCUAACAGUCAAGAAAGAUCAUGUACACUGGUAGCAUGCCAACUCAACCAUACAGGCCCGAACUCAUCCAAUUGUCAUAUGUACAGAACAUCUAAAGUUCUGACAAAAAAAACAUCACAUGGACAGCAACAUAUAUCACACAAGUAAUAGGAAUUCACAAGAGAAAUGUGCUGAAUCUUAUACCUGAUCAUCCUUGAGGUAGAGGGUGAUCUUAGUACCCCGUCCAAGCUGCUCACCAGAGGUAUCACGUGUAACAGUGAAGGACCCACCGGCCUGUGACUCCCACACAUACUGCUCGUCGUCGUUGUGCUUGGUGGUCACAACAACCCUCUCAGCAACAAGGUAGGCGGAGUAGAACCCGACACCAAACUGCCCAAUCAUGGACACAUCAGCACCAGCAGCGAGCGCCUCCAUGAACUCCUUGGUCCCCGACCUGGCGAUGGUACCGAGGUUGUUGACGAGGUCCGACUUGGUCAUGCCGACACCACUGUCGAUGAUCGACAGGGUGUUGCUAGCCUUGUCGGGGACAAUGUGGAUGAACAGCUCCGGCUGCGCAUCGAGCUUGCUCUUGUCCGUGAGGCUCUCGAACCUAAUCUUAUCCAAUGCCUGCAGAAACCACACACACCCAUGUCACAUCGAAUUCAUCACCCAAACACACAGAUCUGUAAAAGCAUCAGCACACUACCACACUAUACAGAUUACACGCACGGGUAAACACACAACCCUCGCUGAUUUGUAACAAGUUUAUGCUAGUGCUCAGAUGUGGCCAUAUUCACAUUUCGAUGAGUAAAACAAACAAAUAAACUAGCACAAACUCUACAAAUCACGAGUCAACGCUCACACCUCAUUGAUUUGAAACAGGUCUACGCCCUAUCAGUAUAUGAUCCUCAGAUGCCGUCACGCUCACAGAUCGACGCGUACAACAACAGCAAAGAGCACAUAAGCAAGCACCGAUUUCGAUUCCUCGACGAGAGGGGAUUAAUUUCGGGGGCGGCGCAAACUUACAUCGGAGGAGUUGGAGAUGAGCUCGCGGAGGAAGAUCUCCUUGUUGGAGUAGAAGGUGUUGAUGAUGAGGGACAGCAGCUGGUUGAUCUCGGCCUGGAAGGCGAACGUCUCGGUCUCCGACGCCAUGGCUUCCUCCUCCUGUGCUCCUGAGAUCUCGGGGGCGUGGAGAGGACGAGAAGAAACGAGAGGCGGCUAGGGUUUGGAGGGGUUUCCAAGAGGACGCGAGAUGGAAGAGGAGGGAGAGUAUUUAAGGGAUCCUGUGGUUC
rnacentral:lncRNA from 1 species